UACGAAGGGGCUAGCGUUGCUCGGAAUCACUGGGCGUAAAGGUGCGUAGGCGGGUCUUUAAGUCAGGGGUGAAAUCCUGGAGCUCAACUCCAGAACUGCCUUUGAUACUGAGGAUCUUGAGUCCGGGAGAGGUGAGUGGAACUGCGAGUGUAGAGGUGAAAUUCGUAGAUAUUCGCAAGAACACCAGUGGCGAAGGCGGCUCACUGGCCCGGUACUGACGCUGAGGCACGAAAGCGUGGGGAGCAAACAGG
rnacentral:rRNA from 1 species